UUUUUUUUUUUUUUUUUUCAUAAUUAUUAGGAAAGGUAUCCCAAUUGCAUAACUUAUUUUUAAUUUGCUUGAGGACAAGCAAUGAUUUGAGUUUGGAGAAAUUUGAUGUAUAUAUUUAUAUAGGCAUUUUACGGUUAUUUUGCAUUCAUUUUGUCCUUUUAUUUUAGUACUUUAUAGCAUUUUUGUCUUUAAUUUAGUAAAAUGUUAAUUUUAGUAUUUUAUAUUGGAUUUUUUUAUUAUUUUUUUAUGUUUUUAAUAAGUUUUGAGGUGAUUUAAAAAUAAAAAGGUGCAAUUGAAAAUGAUUUGAUGUUAUUUGAAGACUUAAAAUGGUGAAGGAAUUGAAGAAAGUUUAAUUGAAGAGUGGUUGAAAUUUUCCUGAGCCUCAACAUGAGGCAUGCUACUUCAUCAGUCACAAGAAGGCAGAAAAUUUAUUGAGGCAGCAAUUUUUCAGACAAGGCGACAUGCCCUGUGUGACUUCAUCAAAAUUUAACACUAGGCACGUUAAAAUUCAACAGUGGGUAGUGUUGCCUGACAGAUUUUUAUGCUGAUUAGGAUUAUUUUCUUCACUUCACCACUCAUUUUACCUUUUGUCUUUUCUUUCCACUAGGCAUUUUAGGGUAAAAAUAUGACACACAUAUAUAUGCACAUCUUUUUCUCAACCUUUCUACAAGAAGUAAGAGAGAGAAAGUUGAACUAAAGGAAAAGAAGAGGAAAUGCCAUUUUUGGGAAGGAAAUCUGACCUGAAGAGUGACGUCUCUAGCUGCCAUUUUCAGAUAUUUGAACUUCUUUUCCUCUGAGUUCUUUAAUUUUUAGUCUAUUUUCAUGUUUUUCUACCUUAUUUCCUUUUUUUUUUCUUAUAAAAACAACUAUGAAUGAGUAAAUUUCUUAGAUUUUAGAAUUGGGUGUAAUGAUUUGAGUUCUAUUUUGUGGAUUUGGACUAAUUUUAACUAGAUUUUGAAAUAUAUAAGUUUUAAUUCAUAUCUUUUGUGCUUAUUUUACAUACCUAUUGUUGGUACUCUUUAGGAUUUAUUCUUAAUCUUAGAUUGAAGGAUCAAGAGGUGAAAAUCUUUGAUAGAUAAUCAAGAUAUUGAACUUAAUCACCUAGUGUUAGAAAUAAACUAGUGGGUUAAGAGGAAAUUUUAUAAUUGAUUAAAGUGCUUAAAGUGUUUUGGGUAAAUUAAACAUUUCAUGAGAAUGGGGUUUAGUUUUCUUUAAAACACUGUUUAAUUUGCUUGAAAGAGAAAUUAAAGAAGCUUAGAAUCAAUUUCCUUCAAACUUGUAUUUCCCUUAAAAUUGGUUUUACCUAUUUAAAUUCCAAUAAAAUUUAUUUCAUGAACCCUAAUUCUGGAAUCACCUUUGCAAUCAAGUAAUUCUAGUUUUACAUAUCCAUUGCUAAUUUAGUGAUUUUACUUCUAGUUUAUACAUUUAUUUACAUUACCCAUUGCUUAAUUUAUUUAUAUUUUCAUUUAAUUGGUGCAUUUACUUUCUUUAAUUUGGAUACACUUUAUUGAUAGUCCAAAUAAUCGUGACUAUUAUAGUUUGGUAUUCAAACAUCAACUCCCUGUGUGAUGAUAUCUCUUCUUUACUACUUCAAUGAUGUGUAUACUUGCAAAAAGUAUGCAUCACUUGGAUUUAUGGUCCCAAAGCCAGUAGGCUUUUAUUUAUUGUUCAAGUUCUUAUAAAAUUUUUGUACUCUUUUAUGCUAAUGACAUAAUUGUCACAAGUUCAUCUGUUUACUCUGUACUCCAGUUCAUAGCCAAAGUUCAAAAUGAAUUUCUUGCUCAUGAUCUUGGCUUCCUAAGCUACUUCUUAGGGAUUGAACUCAACUUCAACAACAAUAGCACAACAUUGUGUUGAAUUAGAGUGGCUCAUAUUUGGAGAUUUCCUAUGUACUUAAAGGUCCUAGAAAAGAAGAGGGAUUGUUCUUUUCUGUUAGAACAUAGUUUGGGGUAUGAGGGCAAUGCCCUCAUAGUACGAUAAAGCAAGAUGGAGGCAUUAAAACCAAUGGAGGCAGUGUGUUACACAACUUGGCCAUGUGAUAACAAGAAGACACAGAGCUCAAUUGUGUAAGGACUUCAAAUCUAGAGAGUUACAUAAGGUUGUAUAUUUGCCCGUGUGUCAUUGGCAUUAUUAUUUAGAAUGUUAGAUGAGCUAGGCAUGUAAAAACCCCAUGGUUGUAUUGAUGUCGUGUGAUCCAAAAGGUUACAUGGCUUGAUUGUAUAAAACCCUAUAGCUGUGUUGACAUUUGGACCUAAUUUAUCUAAUAGCUGUUUUAUUCCUAUUUUGAUUAGGAAUCAUAUUGUAUUGGGUUAGGUCUAUAUAAUGCUGGCAUAAUUAUAUUUUGGAACUCUUAGAACCCUAGUUAUAUAAAAAGGUAAUGGGAUGAAAAUUAUAUCAAAUAUUAAUAAGAUUUUAGAAAAUAUUUUAUUGAUAUUAUAAAUAAUUUUAUUAAAUUUUUUAUUGUUUUUAUGUUAGUUGUUUUAUUUAUUUUAAUAAGUUUUACAUGUGUUUUAUCAUAAUGUUUUAUUAUAUUAAUUUUUUUUAGAUUUAUAACCUAAAAUCCUAGUUAAUUUAGAAGAGUUUUUCCUAAUUUGAGUUGAAGAAAUAUUCUUCAAUAGAAUAGAGGUAUAUUUCCUAUAUAGAGUAGAACUCUUAUCUAGUGUUAUUUCUAAAUUGAAUGGAACUCCUAACUAGAUUAUGAUUUAGAGAAUUAACACUAUAAAUAGAAGAAUGGUGGAAAAAGUUAUUUAGUUUUUCCCAUGGAGAGUGACUUUCAGCUCAUAGAGUGGGGCUGUCGCCCAUUGCAGAAAAGAGUUUUGCCAAUUGCUAGGAUUUGACUUUACCCAUUGAUGAGGGGACUUUACCCAUUGAUGAGAGGCUUUUGCCCAUUAUAGUCCUAUGACGAAAGAGAGGUUUCGGCCUAAGGUGAAGAAAUACAUAGUCCAAGAGGAAGGGACUAUUAUCCAUUAUAGUUGAAGACACAUUUUAUGGUAUAGUAGUUAAAAUAGUAAAUACAUUAGGUUAUAUCUAAAGGAGAUUGAAAGGGACUAACUAAUGCAUUU
rnacentral:misc_RNA from 1 species